GUCUAUGGCCAUACCACCCUCAACGUGCCUGAUCUCCGAAGCUAAGCAGGAUCGGGCCUAGUUAGUACUUGGAUGGAGACCGACUGGGAAUACCGGGUGCUGUAGGCU
ensembl:rRNA 5S_rRNA 5S ribosomal RNA